CUUAGAUUGGACAGGAACACCUCCUAAUUAAAUGAAUAAAAGAGAGGUCCCUCCCUUAAGUCCCCAGUCUUUUUUUCCUGUCCACUCACAUGGACAUAGGAUUUAUAUCACUUCCUUUUUUAUUUUGUGGCUUACUUGGGGUUUAUAUUACCCCUGCCCAUGAGGAGUUCAGCCUCUCUCAUGGAAGCCUCAGGACACAGCACCUCACUAGGGGCGACCCCCUGAAGGACUCUCCCC